AAAAAAAAAAAAAAAACUGCAAGCUACAGACAGAUGGACAAGUGAUAACUGAUUUAGCAGAGCUGAGAAAGUUGACUCUCACAUGAGGAGGAGAUAAAGCUGAGAUGCAAACCACAGAACACAUCAAAAGCUCAGGAACUGGCAGUACCAGAUCCUUUGGAAGUGUGGGUGAAUAUGGGCUAAAAACAGGAAGAUGGGUGGACAGCUUGUUUGACAAGCCGUCAGAUCCCAGAUCCCCUCUCACUCCAUGCUGCCAGGCAACUGCCUGCCCCACCCAAGUGAACUUUGGAAAAGAUAAAGCAGGGUCUCUGGACGGGGGAACACCAGGCAUAGUUGAGGGUAAACCGUACUGAAAAUAUGGCUUUCAGUGAACGUUUUCACGACGAAUGCUGAAAUCGACAGCCUUCUUUUCUCACUUGGUUCCACGAAGGCUGGCAGCCAGGAUUACAUACUCUAGGAAAAGGCUGAAGACUCUUCACUGGGGAAUCCUAAAGUCUCAUGAGAAAAGAACUACAUGUAUUGGCAUUUGAGAGUUCCUCCAAUGACACACUACAGAGAGGCGAGCACAAAAUUCAGACGACGGGAAACAACCCAGCAAUCAGGAGCAUUGCCUUAAUAGCAAAACAAGCGAAACAACCCAAAUGCCCAUCAGGUGACGGGUGGAUAAACACAGUGCGGUCUGUCCAUACAUGGAAUGUGACUCAGCCACAGGCAGGAAUGAAGCGCUGACACACGCAGCAACACGGAUGAACCGUGAGGUCACGGAGUGGAGUGAAAGAUACCAGUCAUGAAGUCACACACCGUAUGAUGCCAUUGACAUGAAGUGUUCAGAGCAAGUAAAUCCUUACAGAUGGAAGGCAGAGCGGUGACUGCCAGGGACUAGGAGUGGGGGGCCAGGGGGUGACUGCUAAUGGGUAUGGGAUUUCAUUUCGGGGCUGGUGGAAACGUUCCGGAGCCAGAGAGUAGUGAUAGCUGCACAACUCUAUGUAUAUGCUAUGAAUCACCACCGAAUGGUAUAUUUUUAAAGGACGAAUUUAUGGUAUGUAAAUUGUGUCUCAAUAAAGCUGCUAUCUUAAAAUUCA
rnacentral:lncRNA from 1 species